rnacentral:pre_miRNA from 1 species
AAUGGGGUCACUAGGUUACAGUGUAUAUUUAACUUUGUAAGAAGCAGCCAAACUGUUUCCCAAAGUGGCUGUGCCAUUUUGCAUUCUCAAGAGUGAU